rnacentral:lncRNA from 1 species
GUAGGCUCUUGUUUUAUUAUCCAAUCUGCCACUCUGUAUCUUUUGAUUAGAGCAUUCAGUCCUUUGACAUUUAAGGUAAUUAUUGAUACAUAUGUAUUUAUUGCCAUUUUAAACCUUGUUUACCAGUUGAUUCUCUGUUUCUCCUUUGUUCCUUUCCUUUCCUUUUUUUUGGUUGGGCAAUUUCCUUUUAUUUUAUGCUUGUGUCCUUUUUUUUUUUUUUUUUAGUUUUUGUGAAUGUAAUGUUUGGUUUUGAUUUGUUAUUGCCCUGUUUUUCAAGUAUGUUAACCCCUUUCUAUACCUACUUGCUAUAGCCUGAUAAUCAUAUAGGCUCCAACAUAUUCUAGAAAAAAAUAGAUUUUCUUACUUUCCUUCCCCACAUUUUAUGAUUUUGAUGUCCCUUUUUUUUAACAUCUUUAUGUGUGUCCUUUUGCUGUUCCUUGUGUUUAUCAUCACUUUUACAAAUAGUUUUCCUUCCCUUUUAGAUCUAUAUACUGGCUUAUUUCGGUUAUUGCUUUACAAUUGUGAUUUCCUCCAUCCUAUAUCUUAUUUCUUUUUUAUUUAGAGGACCCCUUUCAGUAUUUGUUUUAGAAUGGGUUUAGUAUUUCUGUACUCUUUUAGUUUUUGUUAGAGAAAUUCUUUAUUUCUCCUUCUAUUUUAAAUGAUGUUAUUGUUGGGUAGAGUAUUCUAGGCUUCAGAUUUUUCCCUCAUAGAACUUUGAAUGUAUCUUUCCUCUCCCUUCUGGCCCAUAGUGUUUCUGUAGGGAAAUCAGCUGAUAGCCUUAAGGGGGUUCUCUUAUAAUUAACUCUUUGCUUUUCUCUUUCUGCCUUUAGAAUCCUCUCUUUAACUCUUGCCAUUUUAUUAUAAUAUGUCUUGGAUUGGGCCAGUUUGGGUUGAACUUGUUUGGGGCCCUCUGUGCUUCCUAUAUCUUGAUAUCUGUUUCAGCCAUAAUUGGAAAGUUUUCAGCCAUAAUUUAUUCAAAUAUAUGUUCAAUCCCCUUUUUUCUUUUCUGGAAUCCCUAUUAUGCUUAGAUUGUCCUGCUUCUUAUUAUCCCAUAGAUCUCUUAUGUUGCUUUUGUGUUUUUUUCUAGUGUUUUCUGUCUGCUAUCCUGAUUGGAUGAUUUCCAUUAUUAUGUCUCCACUUAUUUGUUCUUCUGCCUUAUUCAUUCUGCUCUUCAAUGCCUUUAACUCAGCUUGCAUCUCUGCAAAUGAAUUUUCUACUUUUUCUUGGCUCCUCAUACGUUCUAGUUCCUUUCUAAAGUAAUCUGUAUUAUAGUUCAUAUCUGCUCUUAAUUCCUUCAUUUUGCUCUUAAUUUCUUCACUAUUUUCACUGUUUUCUUUUUGAGAUCAGUGUCUGGAAGACUACAGAGUUCUGUUUCAUUUUUUGCUCCUUCAGAUGUGUUUUGUUCCACUUUUUGCUCCUUCAGAUGAGUUCUGUUCUUUCAGCUGGGAAUGGUUCCUGAGCUUCUUCAUUUUGCUUAUAUUUUUCUUAUUCUGUGAGUUUAGGAAAACUACUGUAGUCUUUGGAGGCUACUUAUAUGCAAGAGUGCCCCCGGGUAUUUUGUGAGGGCUUACUAUUUAUAUUUAGGGUGCUGUACCUGUUUCCAGGGAUAUAGAGGCAAUGGGCAGGGCAAUAGCCAUUGCCUGGUUGCUGGGCAUUCACAGUGGCAAAGGACCUGUGAGAAGGUGGCACAGGCUGCACCUAGUUGCAGGGCCCUGAGAAGUGACAGUGAUCUUCAGGCAGGUAUGGGCAGUGCCUGGAGAGUUUAGCAAUGGCAGCAUUGGAGUGGGUGCAUUCUCAGAGGAAUAAGAGCAACAACGGGUGGUGCUCAGUUGCAGUGCCCUCCUCUUUGCCAGCCUCUGAGAUGACUGGGGCCGCAGGUGGUCCCUGCUCAUGGAUCUCUAGUGGGGGUGGACCACCCCCAUCUCUGGUGUCUGAGAUGACUGCGCUGGUUUUCCCCUGAUGCUUGUAGACCACACAAAAGAUGCUCAUCACUUUUAGACCCCCCACUGACCUUAACCUGAACAAGAGGUGCCCAGCCCUCCAUAGCCCUCACAAAAGGUGCCUCACCACCCAUAGCCUGUGCCAGAGGUGCCCUGCCCUCUGAGAGUCCACGUGUGUACAAGGAAAGAUAGUCCUAUGGCAGUCCACCCCACCUCCUCUUGCCCUCCCCAACAGUGGUGACUUGCUUCUCUGCAGGCCCAGACCUCCUCCCUGGUUCCCUUGGCUGUGUCACACUGCUCCCUAGCCCCUCAGGCUGUCUCCACACAGCCAACCCUAGUCCUUUCUCCAGAACUGACCUCUGGAGCCUGAGUCUCAGCGCCCAGCCCCCACUCAGCAUCUCAGACUGUGGUGCAGAUGGUCUGUACGGCUCUCACUCUGCCCUGCCUUCUUUAGUCCAGCUGCAGUGCUUUUCUCCAUGACUUUGAGGUCCCUCCCAUCUCAGCUCAUCUCCUCAUUGGUUAGGUGGCUUCCCUAGGGUGUGGGUUUUCUUCCUCUUUAACAGCUCUCUCUCAGGAGUGCUAGUCCUAUCCUUAUUCCAUUCUCUCUUGUUUCCCCACUUUUGUUCUACCCAGUUAUGUGGAGGGGUUCUUGCCCUUUUUGGAGAUUUAAAGUCUUCCGCCAGCAUUCAGUAGAUGUGUUCUGUUUGAAUUGUUCUACAUGUAAAUGGGGUUUUUUGAUGUGAUUGUGCAAGAAGGUCAGUGCCACAUCUUACUCCUGCCAUCUUGAUCCUUCUUCCUCCUUGUUAAAACCUUUGAUUCUCUCUUCAUUCUUGUGACCCGCUUAUCCACAGAUCACAUUUCUAUAGGCCCUAUAAUUGCUUUGCCGCACAAAGUAAACACCAGGAUACUUCAUACAUACACAUCAGCAUUUCAGUGCUUGUCAGAAUUCAUAAAAUAUAGGGCUACAACCUAUAGUUGGAUAUUAAGAUGCAAAUCUGUUGUGCUCAUUUGAUGUAUGAAAAUGAGAAACCCUCGUACAGAGGAAGGAUUUCCCAGACUCUCUGUCACCUUGUUUUUAUCUCCAGGGUUUUUCAGUUUUGUUUUUGGCCAUAUCUUCAGCACAUGGAAGUUCCCAGACCAGAGUUCAAAGUGAGCUGCAGCUGCAGCCUACACCGUAUCUGCAGCAAUGCAAGAUCUUUAACCCAUUGUACUGAGCCAGGGAUUAAGCUUGCACUGCUACAGAAACAAUGCCAGAUCCUUAACCUGCUGAGCCACAGAGGGAAUUCCUAUCUACAAGUUUUGGGUCUGUAAGAUGAUUUUGCUUCUCAGUUUAAUGUACGUUGCUGUGAAUUUGAAUGAUCAGAACUAAAGUGCCUCUCCAGGUUGUUUGGCACUAAGCCCAUCCCCUCUGAGGGUUAUAAUGGGGUUACUUCCUCCAUAGAAUAAAUACAUCCCUGGUUUUUUAAAAAUUGUGCCACCACUAUUGAUGUAAUUUGCUUCCAUGAAGAUGUGGACAAAGAAAUGCAUUGUCUUAGGGAGGAGUACUUAUAAAUAUGUUGUUUUUGUUUUUCCCUCAGGCAAACGUGAAAGGCAGAUUUUUCGCAAGGAGCUUGUGAACAAGUUAUGAACACUUCCAGGGGACAGCCCUCCGCCUUAACAAUUUUGAGCCAGCACUGUGAUUCUACCAUAAGGUCAAGUCUAUUCCAAAGAUGUUUUUCCAGUAGUUUCUGCACUUCUUUUUUACACCAACAACAAAUAUUUACAUGUUUUUUAUUUUUUUUCUCCAUCUUCACCCGUUGAUUUCCUGCUCCUAUGAAAUGAUUUAUUUUUUUAUUUAUAUAUUAUAAAAUUUUUCUCUUAUCCAAAUCAGUGGCGUGGACCACCAAUAAAAGCUUUCUCCUAGGUUUUGUGCCACAAGAGACUCCAGAGAUGCAGCUCAUUUUCUAAGGUAUAGGACAGAGUUGUCACUUAUUUUUUGCUGCUCUAUAGAUUACGUGCCACUUUCCAGUUAUAUCAGGGACUCUGUUUACUGGAAGACUGUGUGAAGCUGCCAUGUUGUCUGACCACCUCCUUUAACAUAACUGGGAUCCGUUACUCUCCCCAAGACUUCUUUCUGGUUGAAAUAGUACAGAGAAAUACUAAUAGGAAAAAUAUGUAUACUUUAAGUGAUAUUAUAGGGAAAGCUGUUCACCCCUCCAAAAUGAAAGAUAUAUGGUUAAAAUAGAGAAGGACAACAUUUAAUUCUGUUCUAAAAGAAAAGGAAGAGAAAAUAUGACUCUCACAACGUAGCCCUUCUAGGGGAUUUGAUAAUGAAGGAGAUACAUGUAUAUGAUCAUUGAUUGUCUUCUAGAUGGAGGGAUUGUUUUGCAUUUUUUAUUGUAAAUAUAUAUAUACCAUAAAAUUUAGAAUCAUAACCAUUUUAAACAUACAAUUCAGUGCCAUUAAUCACAGUCCCAGUGUUGGGCAACCAUCACCCCCUAGUUCAUUUUUGGUAGGUCUUUUAGAAUAUUCAGUUAUUGCUACAAAGUCAUUUUUAAGUUUCAUUCUCUAGGAACUGAUCUGUUUCCUACAAGUUUUAAGUGUGACUGGCAUAAAGUCAUUUACAAUAUCUUAUAUGUUUAAUUUCUUCAACAUUUGUAAUUGUGGUUUUUUUUCCUUUUUAAUUUUCUUUGACCUUUUUUUCUUGAAUAAUCUUACAUGACUUUUUCCUAUUAAUUUUCAAAGAAUCAUUUUAUUGCUUAAUUUAUCCUUCUGUUUUUUUUCUAGUUCAUAUUAUUUCUUUCCUUCAUCUGUUCUUCAUUUGAGGGUUUUUUUUUCCCUCUACUUUUUAAAAACAGAAAUUUAGAUUAAUUUUUAACUUAAUUAUAAAGCCUACUUUUUUCCCUAAGUACCACUUUAGCAGCAACCUGCAAGUUUUGGUUCUUAGCACUGAUAAGUAACCAUAAUAAUAGCCAUUUUCUAACUUACCUGUAUCUUUUACCCAUGAGCUAUUCAUAAGUGUAAUGUUCUCUAAACUUCAGAUGUUAAUGGCAUUUUCUUGUUAGAUUAAACCUUGUGAAUAUGCUAAUAUCAAACCUUUUUUUUAACCUAUAAAAAUGGCAGUCAUAUGGUUCAACAUAAUUGUUUUGUUACUAAUAUGUAAGUUUCACUUUGGUCAGAGAACAUUAGAUUUCAUUUUAAACCAAAGGUAACUGCAUUCACACACAAAGUCCUGUUUUUAUCUUUUUGUAUUCUUUUUGGGCUUUUUAAAAUGUUGUAAGUAUGUGCACAACCAGUGAUUUUCAAAUGAAAAUCUGAGCACUGAAAUCUUUUUUUUUUUGAUACAUGUUGCUGGUUGGUUCUCCAGGGUACAAAUUCAGGUGGAGAUUAACAUUGGGAUGAGUAUUAGGGGUACCUUUGGGGUCAACACUUGUGGAAUCAAGAGGAAAGAAACAUGAUAGGGUAGAGGGAGAGUUCAAGCUGAACCACUGCCCAGACGACCUUAGCUGACCCCAUGGGGUCUCUGGAUGAAGGUGGCCCCUUGGGGUUUCCUGACACAUCCAGUGGCCAGGCCUUUAUGCCUCCACCUGAUGGUCAUUGCAUGUAUGUGGCCUGCAGAAGGGCUGGUGGUUUAAGGCUGCCCAUUGGCAGCACUUCCAACAGCUGGACAACAAGCCCUUGAAGGAAGGUCUGAAUGGCACGUGUCCAUGUCUCCCACCUAUGUGUCACAGCUGCAGAGGUAGAUGGUUAAGGUGUAUGUACUGUGGAGGGAUGCUCUUGGUGACUGAUGUAAGUCAAAAUGAUUAAAUGCUUCUCCUAAAUACCCUGUGGUCUGAAAAUAAAGGAGCAGGUCCACGUAGGGGAGAAACCCUCAUUCUCUGGGGUCAGCCCAGUGUUCAGCUCUUCAGGAAGCCAUCAGUCAUCAUCCUAGGUAACUCGUGUUGCUGUAAUGCCCUCAACACCUCUCAUUUGUUAAAAUGAACCAUACUUGGUUAAUGUCCUAUUUUAGCCAUCUUUAGAUACUUAUUUUUAAAACAAGGGACCCUGCUUUUUCCAUUUUGCACUGAGUCCUGUAAAUUAUGUAGCCUGCCCUAACUAUGAGUAUUCAUUCUUGGGUGGUCUGUUUUGUCAAUAAACCAUGAGCUUCUAAAGACUUGGAACUGUGCCCUAUUAACUUUUAAUUACAUCUUCCAGCACAAUGUCUGUCAUGGGGAGUGCUCAGUAAAUGUUUGCUGAAUGAAUGAAUGAUGACCCUCCUUCUAAACUUUAUAAUUUUGAAAUAGUGAACCCUGGUUUUGGAGUCAGUCACACAUAUCUGCUUGCCAGUUCUUGGUCUGCCUCUCACUAGGAAUGUGGGUGCCAAAGAAUGUAUUCUUCAAAGUAGAAGACUUGAGAAUGAAAGGAUAACCAACCAAGGUGCCAGGGCAAAAAACUGGCACCAUCCUUGACAAAAUGGGCUAUGGUCACCCUGAGCCAUGUAGGCUUCAUUACAUGCUUGGGUAAGUGUCUCAACUUCUGAAUCUCAGACUCUUCAUAUGGAAAAUGACUAUAAUUCCUGUCCUUGAAUAGUUUUUUUGUUAUGGUGAUGGAUGGACCAAGAACAUGCAAAGAAACAAUGGAUGGAAUCAUUGACCUUGGUGAUUCUUAGUUAUCAAGAGAGAAGAGCAAGGUGAAGGUAGGUUUGCAGACUGUAGAAGGUGUAUUUUAGGAGGUCCUCACCUGAUGGCCUAAACUAAACUGUUCUUCCUUCAUAUACAGGUAAAAUAAAACAGGGAAGAGCACAAGGUCUGGCAACAGCCUUCCAGGGUCAAACACUGGCUCCUCUGGAAACUGCCUGGUUUUGGACACAAGUUUGUUUCCUGCUAAUUGUGUGCUCUUAAGGUUGGGAAGCCUACUGGGUUUCAGUUUCUUUGUCUGAAAGCUGAGAUGAGGAUAGUAUGUUUCUCAAAGGGCUGCUGUAAAAAUUAGACAGUGACACUCAUGUUAAGGUCUAUGGGCUAGUGCUGGUCCAUGAACUUUUGUAACUAGGUUAGAAAUAAGUACAGGAAUAUUAAGGCUAGAAAUGUGUAGCCAUCUGACAUGGCUGU